rnacentral:tRNA from 1 species
GGCCGACUGGUGUAGUGGUUAUCACGUCUCGUUCACAGCCUCCGAGAAGGUGCCAGGUUCGAUCCCUGGGUCGGUCA